CAAUGUUGGCUUGAGUAACGGUGUUAGAACUGAUACAACCUGGAAAUGUUCAGAUGAAGAGGAAGAAGGUUGGAACACUGUCGAAUUUAACGACAGUGCUUGGAAUAACGCAAAACCUGUACAUGUUUCAAAUGUUGAUUGGAUUUGGACGACUGAGAAUCCACUACAAAAGGGCACCAUCUACUGUAGAAAGUCUAUACUCCGAAGUAUCUAUUAUCGAAAGGCUUCAUACAGUAAAUCUAAUGUUGUGAUUAACACCUGUGACCCAAGUAGAUUUCUGGAAUCAAUUUAUACGUCUCGGAAAAUGGAGUGCGUCAGAGCCUGUACAGCGAAUACUGAUUGUAAGCGAUAUUUGUAUUGUUCACGUAAUUCAUCCUGUAAACUAUAUCAAGAUGGCGGAGUUUGUGUUAUGU